UAUGCUUAGAUUAAUGAGUUUCAGCAGAAGUUUUUCCCAUUGCUUGUUGAAACCACAUUUUUUUGUAAGCUCCGCCGUCACGCUUUAUUAACUCUUCGUGUGUGCCAGUCUCAACGAUUCUACCAUUCGAAAUACAAAGAAUUAAGUCUGCAUUGGUGAUGGUGGAGAGCCUGUGAGCGAUUACUAUAGCAGUUCGGCCAGAUGCAAGUCUAUUCAAGGCUGCCUGGAUUUGUCGCUCAGUAUUUGUGUCCAGAGCAGAAGUAGCUUCAUCGAGAAGGAUAAUUGAAGGAUCUUUUAAGAUAGCUCUGGCAACUGCUACACGUUGUUUUUCACCACCGCUUAACUUUAAGCCUCUUUCUCCGACACGAGAAUUAUAACCAUCUGGGAAUUGUAAUAUACGAUCGUGAAUUUGAGCAGCCUUAGCAGCAGCAUAAAUCUCCUCAUUGGUCGCAGAAGGUUUAGCAUAUUUAAUAUUGUAAAGAAUAGUAUCAUUAAAAAGGGUACUAUCUUGGGGAACUACACCUAUUGAAGAUCGAAGACUAGACAACGUAACAUUUCGUAUGUCUUGAUCAUCAAUGGUUAUGGAUCCCGAGUUGACAUCGAAGAAUCGUAAAAGAAUUCUCAUAAUUGUAGAUUUCCCACCACCUGAUUCUCCCACUAACGCAAUAACUUUUCCUGGUUGUGCAACAAAAUUGAUAUCUGAUAAAACAGGUUUUCGUGGAUCAUAUGCAAAUGAAACAUGAGAGAAUAUUACCUUACCUUGAGUGACUUUAAGAUCUGGGGCAUUUGGUUUCUCCACCACAGUAGGUUUCUCCUCAAAAAUUUCAAGUAGUCUUUCUGUAUCGAUGAUGCUAUUUUGCAAUGAACGAUAUAAAGUUCCGAAAAAAUUAAGAGGCUGCUGUAGCUGAAUCAUGUAUGUCAAAAGUAUGACAAAAUCACCGACAGUGUUAAAGCCGAAUGUUACUCUAUAAGCACUUAAUAGACAAGCAAUUGCCAAGCUGAAUGUAAAUAUUCCACCUUGAACGAUAUUUAAAAAAUUAAGGCUAAAUAGUACCUUCCGCUCUUGCUUAAGAUAAAUAUCCACAGCAUGACCGUAUCGUUCAUUUUCAAAGUCAUCUGCAUCAAAAUUUUUAACGGUUUCGAAAUUCAUAAUCGCGUCAUUUUGCACAGCAUAACUCUCGCGCCAGCUAUUAACCAUCUUUCUUCUAGCCU